rnacentral:rRNA from 1 species
UAUAAGCAAUUAUACAGCGAAAACUGCGAAUGGCUCAUUAUAUAAGUUAUCGUUUAUUUGAUAGUACCUUACUACUUGGAUAACCGUGGUAAUUCUAGAGCUAAUACAUGCUAAAAACCCCGACUUCGGAAGGGGUGUAUUUAUUAGAUUAAAAACCAAUGCCCUUCGGGGCUCACUGGUGAUUCAUAAUAACUUCUCGAAUCGCAUGGCCUUGCGCCGGCGAUGGUUCAUUCAAAUUUCUUCCCUAUCAACUUUCGAUGCUAGAGUAGUGUUCUAGCAUGGUUACAACGGGUAACGGAGGGUUAGGGCUCGACCCCGGAGAA